CCUACGGGAGGCAGCAGUGGGGAAUAUUGCACAAUGGUGGAAACCCUGAUGCAGCGACGCCGCGUGAGUGAAGAAGUAUUUCGGUAUGUAAAGCUCUAUCAGCAGGGACGAAAAUGACGGUACCUGAUUAAGAAGCCACGGCUAACUACGUGCCAGCAGCAGCGGUAAUACGUAGGGGGCAAGCGUUAUCCGGAUUUACUGGGUGGAAAGGGAGCGUGGACGGCAGCCCAAGUCUGGAGUGAAAUGCCGGGGCUUAACCCCGGAACUGCUUUGGAAACUGUGCCGCUAGAGUGCAGGAGAGGUAAGUGGAAUGCCUGGUGUAGCGGUGAAAUGCGUAGAUAUUAGGAGGAACACCAGUGGCGAAGGCGGCUUACUGGACUGUAACUGACGUUGAGGCUCGAAAGCGUGGGGAGCAAACAGGAUUAGAUACCCUAGUAGUC
rnacentral:rRNA from 1 species